GAUGAAGAACGUAGUGAAAUGCGAUAAGUAAUGUGAAUUGCAGAAUUCAGUGAAUCAUCGAAUCUUUGAACGCACAUUGCGCCCGCCAGUAUUCUGGCGGGCAGGCCUGUUCGAGCGUCAUUACAACCCUCAGGCCCCCGGGCCUGGCGUUGGGGAUCGGCGAGGCGCCCCCCGCGGGCACGCGCCGUCCCCCAAAUACAGUGGCGGUCCCGCCGCAGCUUCCAUUGCGUAGUAGCUAACACCUCGCAACUGGAGAGCGGCGCGGCCAUGCCGUAAAACACCCAACUUCUGAAUGUUGACCUCGAAUCAGGUAGGAAUACCCGCUGAACUUAAGCAUAUCAAUAAGCGGAGGA
rnacentral:misc_RNA from 1 species